rnacentral:rRNA from 1 species
GACGAACGCUGGCGGCGUGCCUAAUACAUGCAAGUUGAGCGCUGAAGGUUGGUACUUGUACCAACUGGAUGAGCAGCGAACGGGUGAGUAACGCGUGGGGAAUCUGCCUUUGAGCGGGGGACAACAUUUGGAAACGAAUGCUAAUACCGCAUAAAAACUUUAAACACAAGUUUUAAGUUUGAAAGAUGCAAUUGCAUCACUCAAAGAUGAUCCCGCGUUGUAUUAGCUAGUUGGUGAGGUAAAGGCUCACCAAGGCGAUGAUACAUAGCCGACCUGAGAGGGUGAUCGGCCACAUUGGGACUGAGACACGGCCCAAACUCCUACGGGAGGCAGCAGUAGGGAAUCUUCGGCAAUGGACGAAAGUCUGACCGAGCAACGCCGCGUGAGUGAAGAAGGUUUUCGGAUCGUAAAACUCUAUUGGUAGAGAAGAACGUUGGUGAGAGUGGAAAGCUCAUCAAGUGACGGUAACUACCCAGAAAGGGACGGCUAACUACGUG